CCUACGGUGGGCAGCAGUGGGGAAUAUUGGACAAUGGGCGAAAGCCUGAUCCAGCCAUGCCGCGUGUGUGAAGAAGGCCUUCGGGUUGUAAAGCACUUUCAGUGGGGAAGAAAGCCUUGGGGCUAAUACCCUCGAGGAAGGACAUCACCAACAGAAGAAGCACCGGCUAACUCCGUGCCAGCAGCCGCGGUAAUACGGAGGGUGCGAGCGUUAAUCGGAAUUACUGGGCGUAAAGCGCGCGUAGGCGGUCUGAUAAGCCGGUUGUGAAAGCCCCGGGCUCAACCUGGGAACGGCAUCCGGAACUGUCAGGCUAGAGUGCAGGAGAGGAAGGUAGAAUUCCCGGUGUAGCGGUGAAAUGCGUAGAGAUCGGGAGGAAUACCAGUGGCGAAGGCGGCCUUCUGGACUGACACUGACGCUGAGGUGCGAAAGCGUGGGUAGCAAACAGGAUUAGAUACCCGUGUAGUC
rnacentral:rRNA from 1 species